GUGGGGAAUAUUGGGCAAUGGGGGCAACCCUGACCCAGCGACGCCGCGUGAGGGAAGAAGGCCUUAGGGUCGUAAACCUCUGUUGUGUGGGAAGAAGGAAGUGACGGUACCACACGAGGAAGUCCCGGCUAACUACGUGCCAGCAGCCGCGGUAAUACGUAGGGGACGAGCGUUGUCCGGAAUUACUGGGCGUAAAGGGCGCGUAGGCGGUCAUUUAAGUCAGCUGUGAACUGGUCCGGCUCAACCGGAUCAUGCGGUUGAAACUGGAUGACUGGAGUGCUGGAGAGGCGAGUGGAAUUCCCAGAGUAGCGGUGAAAUGCGUAGACAUUGGGAAGAACACCGGUGGCGAAGGCGACUUGCUGGCCAGCAACUGACGCUGAGGCACGAAAGCCAGGGGAGCAAACGGGAUUAGAAACCCCAGUAGUCC
rnacentral:rRNA from 1 species